GCUUGGUUUCAUCCUCCUACGCCCAGCUCGGGAAUUGUGCUUGUGUUAAUUGAUCAAACGUUCGGUACAAGCAGUACAUAUAUAGACCUGCACCGAUCACACACCACCAUAUGCUUGUAAAUGUAUAAUAAGUUAAUAACCAAGUGGCUGCCAAAGUGUCCACAUAUGCCACAAGGGAACACUUUGGCAGCCGCCCACCUGGGUAAUAUACACUUGCAACCAGGUUUUUUUAGUCUCCAGCUGAAUUGUCUAUUGGUUUCGUUUCAUUCAUCACAUGGACCUGCGCCAACGACUCCGGGCAUCACACCCGUUGGGUCUUUCAACCUUAUCCGAUGCGUUUGUGGGCUGGUUGGAUGGGAUGGGAAUUGCUUGAUGCUAGCUCGUCCUUGUCAUGACGGUGAUGCUUUCCCGAGCCACCGCAGUUCGCCGUCUCAGCUUCAGCACGCCCGUGUGAGCAACUACAGGUCGCGGCAGUUGCUCGCCCACACCUGCGCGCGCCGCCGCAGCUCGUCUUGACCACGCCCGUGUGAGGAGCCGAAGGUCGCCGCCGGUACUCGCCCACGCCUGCUCGCGCCGGCGCAGCUCACCCUUGCCUUGCUGAUGCCUGCAUGAGGCACUGCAGCUCACCGCCGGUGCUCGUGCACAUCUGCAUGUGCUGGCGCAGCCUCGCGGAUGCCUGCGCGAGCCAGCGCAGCUCGCCGCCUGUGCUCGCCCACGCCAACGCAGCUCGCCCUCCCCUUCGUGCGUUGGCGCCGCUCGUCCCGAGAGCUAAGACAUGCGAGGGCGGCGCUGAACAGCAGCUCCAGUGGCGUGAUGGCAGCAGCACCGACUGGAGGAGGAGAUGGAUGCGUGCAUGCGCAUGUUCUCAAGAUGGAGAUGCGAACAGGAAAAGGGAAUUACAGACACGUACAGGAGAGUGUACGUUUGUCUUCCACAAAUACAAUCACGGAUACAAUCAAA